UACAGAGGUCUCAAGCGUUGUUCGGAUUCAUUGGGCGUAAAGGGCGCGUAGGCGGCGGGGUCAGUCGGGUGUGAAAUCUUGGGGCUUAACCCCGGAACGGCACUCGAAACUGCCCGGCUGGAGUGCCGGAGAGGAGAUCGGAAUUCACGGUGUAGCAGUGAAAUGCGUAGAGAUCGUGAGGAAGCCCCGUGGCGAAGGCGGAUCUCUGGACGGCUAAAACUGACGCUGAGGCGCGAAGGCCAGGGGAGCAAACGGG
rnacentral:rRNA from 1 species